AUUGAACGCUGGCGGCAGGCCUAACACAUGCAAGUCGAACGAGUGGCGGACGGGUGAGUAAUGUCUGGGAAACUGCAUGAUGGAGGGGGAUAACUACUGGAAACUGUAGCUAAUACCGCAUACCAUCAGAUGAUCCCAGAUGGGAUUGGCUUGUUGGUGGGGAAACGGCUCACCAAGGCGACGAUCACUAGCUGGUCUGAGAGGAUGACCAGCCACACGGGAACUGAGAAACGGUCCAGACUCCUACGGGAGGCAGCAGUGGGGAUUAUUGCACAAGGGGCGCAAGCCUGAUGCAGCCAUGCGGCGUGUAUGAAGAAGGCCUUCGGGUUGUAAAGUACUUUCAGCGGGGAGGCGUUACCCGCAGAAGAAGCACCGGCUAACUCCGUGCCAGCAGCCGCGGUAAUUC
rnacentral:rRNA from 1 species